AUUGAACGCUGGCGGCAGGCCUAACACAUGCAAGUCGAGCGGUAGAGAGGUGCUUGCACCUCUUGAGAGCGGCGGACGGGUGAGUAAUGCCUAGGAAUCUGCCUGGUAGUGGGGGAUAACGCUCGGAAACGGACGCUAAUACCGCAUACGUCCUACGGGAGAAAGCAGGGGACCUUCGGGCCUUGCGCUAUCAGAUGAGCCUAGGUCGGAUUAGCUAGGUGGUGAGGUAAUGGCUCACCAAGGCGACGAUCCGUAACUGGUCUGAGAGGAUGAUCAGUCACACUGGAACUGAGACACGGUCCAGACUCCUACGGGAGGCAGCAGUGGGGAAUAUUGGACAAUGGGCGAAAGCCUGAUCCAGCCAUGCCGCGUGUGUGAAGAAGGUCUUCGGAUUGUAAAGCACUUUAAGUUGGGAGGAAGGGUCGUUGCCUAAUACGUGACGAUUUUGACGUUACCGACUGAAUAAGCACCGGCUAACUCUGUGCCAGCAGCCGCAGUAAUAC
rnacentral:rRNA from 1 species